rnacentral:rRNA from 1 species
GAUGAACGCUGGCGGCGUGCCUAAUACAUGCAAGUCGAGCGAACAGACGAGGAGCUUGCUCCUCUGACGUUAGCGGCGGACGGGUGAGUAACACGUGGAUAACCUACCUAUAAGACUGGGAUAACUUCGGGAAACCGGAGCUAAUACCGGAUAAUAUAUUGAACCGCAUGGUUCAAUAGUGAAAGACGGGUUUGCUGUCACUUAUAGAUGGAUCCGCGCCGCAUUAGCUAGUUGGUAAGGUAACGGCUUACCAAGGCAACGAUGCGUAGCCGACCUGCGAGGGUGAUCGGCCACACUGGAACUGAGCCACGGUCCAGACUCCUACGGGAGGCAGCAGUAGGGAAUCUUCCGCAAUGGGCGAAAGCCUGACGGAGCAACGCCGCGUGAGUGAUGAAGGUCUUCGGAUCGUAAAACUCUGUUAUUAGGGAAGAACAAAUGUGUAAGUAACUAUGCACGUCUUGACGGUACCUAAUCAGAAAGCCACGGCUAACUACGUG